rnacentral:lncRNA from 1 species
CCUGAUUGGUGGUUGCUAUGGAAAUCAGGACCCACCCCCCGCCCCCAAGCUGGCUGUGAUGUCAUAAUGGGUAGGAUGAGGGUUGGGAGUGCGUUACAGGGAACUGGGGAGACAAGCACAGUGCUGACCACAACUCUACAGUUACACAGGACCUAACACGUAAAUACGGAACUUGGCAGUUUGAAGAAGCCAGUUAACACAUUUGAAGAGUAACAAUUCAUCAGUGUUAAACUCUUCAGUGAAGUCAGCAUGCACCUUUAAUCUCCACAGAAAUCUUAGGAAGAUUUGGAUAGUUGAACUGCUUUGGGCUUCUUAUUAUUUGUAUUAGAACUCACUUUCUAGAUGCCAUCCCAUUGCCUUCUGGCUAACACAGUCUCCAUGGGGUAAGAGUGGAUGGCAGAGGUCCUAAUUUACAGAGAGCAAAGGCUGCACAGCAGUUAGCAGAUUGGCCCAAACUGAUCUGUAUACUCCUCAAAAUCAGAACUUCAGUCGGCUAACUCCUACACAAGUUCACCCCAGCCAGGGGCAACAGGCGUCAGCCCCAAAGCUGAUUUUAAUGGUGGAGAUUUGCAGAAAAUGAAGAAGUACCAAGAAGAAAAAAUGCACCAGAUAUUAUUUCAAAAAAAAUUAAAAUGGGCUACGUUCAUAUGGUUGGAAGAAAGAGUACAAAUCUGAACAAAUCUCGAAUAAAGAAAAGGUUGCUUUUAUUGGAAAUACCUUG